UUUAAUUUGAUUUCACACACAGUUAUUAGCAUAACAUAAUCUGUUUCAGGAUUGUCUUGGGGAUCAUCACAAAGAAGAACAUAUUAGAGCAUCUCGAGCAACUAAAGCAGCACGUCGAACCCUUGGCGCCUCCUUGGCAUUAUAACAAAAAAAGAUAUCCUCCGUCAUAUGGCCCAGACGGCAAACCAAGACCCCGCCUCCAUAAUGUUCAACUGAAACCCAUAGCUGAGGAGAGAGAGGAAACGGAAGAGGAGGUUCAUUUGUUGAAUAGCACAACACUUUAGUCUGGGGAAUACUUGUAAAAUCAGAGACGAGAGCUGGGUUUUUGUGUAACAGUGCUGCUGGCAAUCAGGAGUCAGUCUGGGGGAGCAUGUGGCGAUGAGGAAGGCUGAUGGGAGUGUGGGAAGGGAGAGCUGCUGUCGUGCACUGGAUGCGUCCUGAGAUAUCAGGUCUGCCAUGAUAGUGCAGUGGGUGAGCCGUGCAGUGGUGCCAUUCUCCAGCCCCAGCCUGGUACUUCAGCAUUGAAGAGAUGUGUUAUUAAUCCCUGUUUCUGGAGGGAUCGUUCUGAAUUGAGCCAUCUUGUGAAGACUGAAAGGUCUUGCCCUUCUUAUCAUUGAAAACUGUUGUGUUAACUCAUGAAACGUAUUAACUAUUACACGUCACAUUUCUACAUUCCAGAAGAGCUUUAUUUCUCUCUCUCCUGAGCCGUAACAAAGCCUCUUUAAAAUUGGUGUGCCCUUUUGAAGCAGUUGUUUCUCAUAUUGAGAUGUACUGUGAGUUACUGAGGUGUGAUCACAAGAAGGGAGGUUUUUCUUGUGCCAUUCAAUGUCUAAGUUUGUAAAUCAUGAAAUGAUUGGGGUAGUGCAGAUCCACUGCAACAAAACCAGAUUGAACAGGUAAUACCUUGCCAGAACCAUGUGAGACUUCUCUCAACCUGUGUGCUGUCAUGAUAAGAGAAAACUAAAACCAGGUGAAACUAGUAUUUCAAAGAAAAAUACUGGUUUUGCUGCAGAAAGUAUCAAUAAUGUGACCUGGUCUUAUGCAAUUUUUGUAUUAUUGAAAACACUAUAAUAUAUACCAAUGUUGUGCAGUAUAAGGAAAAAUACUGCUAUUCUACUAGUUUAAGAGCUGGAACAAUUCUGUAUACGUGUAUCUGGUAAAAAUGCAUGCUACAACACUGGAGAUCUUUUUUUUCCCCCUGUGAAGUUGAAGAAUGAUCAUUUUUAUUUUUUCUUCUCCACAAAAGAUGUUCCACUUGCUGACAAGGUAGAAAGAAAUGUAACUCAUAAUUUGCACUAAAUGUAUAUUAUUUUUCUUGAAGUUUUACCAUUCUUUAUUUAUAUUUGUAUGAAUUUAAAAAUCUAUUAAAUAUGAAUCAGCUAAUAUCUCACAUAACUAAUUACCUUUUUAAUGUGAUUUUAUAGAAUAAUUUAUAAUCCUCUGCAACUAAUGGAGGAUUAGCAAAUGUUUACAACUAGAUGAAGGGUUUCAAGAAAAUGGCUUCUUUAUGAUCCAACAUACAUUCAAGAUCAUUUUCAAAUGUAACUUUCACUGCCGUUACUUUGGAUUUCCUUUUUUCUUUACUAGCAGAUAACUGGAACAGUAAGGUUUUGUUUUUAAAAAAAACUGCGGGGUUUUAAAAGUAAUAGAAGAAAGCAACUAUUAGACUGCUUUUGACUCCUUUUUUCUUUUGUCUCACAUACAUAGAGGUGCAAAUUAUAUGUAGUCACACCGGAGCAGCAGGGCAGAAUUGAAUCCAGUACUUGAAACUUUGGCUGGACUUCAAAAUUUGGCAGCAACUGAAUACACACACUCAAAGGUGAACUGACAAAUCCCUAACUUCUUUACAGUAGAUUGUUUUGUUUCCUAUUCAUUUUAUCAGACCACCACAUGUGCAUGCAGAGGAAAAAUGGCAAAAUGCUAUAAGCCUAAACUAAGGAGAAAAAAAAUUAAGAAAUCUGGCUGACAAAAAUCAUGUUUUGUAAUGUGGGGUUCAAUAAAAUUUCUUUCUUUUAACAAUUAUGCUCACAAGACUACAAAAAUGGCAAAAAAAUAAACACUGAAAGUCUAACAUAAUAAUUUAAAUAUCUCUAAGGCAUUCAUCACAGUUACCUCAAACAUCUUUAUUCAAAGUAUUCAGUAUGAUUUUAUCUCAAAUACAAUUAACACAAUGAACCAAAAUUCUUGUACUUUUGACAAGCUGCACAAUUACUGGCUGUGCUUAAGUAAGUGCACUGUUAAAUUUUAACUGAUUUUUCCUAGUAAAAAACUGCCGUCUACAUUUUAUCAUCUCAUAUCUAGCAGCAACUGGAACCAGUAGAAAGUGGAAUGUGCUAGGGAGAUCACAGUGAUCAGGCCCUGUAUUAAAAAAUGUUUGGUACUGAAACAGGGAAUUAGGCUAUAUGAAAAUGGGAGCAUGGCAGCAAUCAGCUGUACUCUUCCACAUGAAGUUAGUGCUAGUGGUUAAGAAUUUGCUCUGUUACAUUGCAUAAGCUUGAAGAAGAGGAAGCUUCAUAAAGAGCAGGAUUUGGCCCAUUUACAGAAAACUGCUCUGGAAGUUGUCUGUGCCACUGAUUCCCGUUGUCUGAUUUUUUUUUUUCUAUAGUGGAAGAAUACAAACUCACUACAUGUACAAAAAUCAGUUUGAAAUCUGAUGCUAUUGUAAAACACUGCUGUGUGUACUGUAUUAACUUGCACCUAAUUCUGCAGUCUGCACUGUCUGAAUUUAAAUACAGUUCACACUGCUGCUGAGUUUCAUAAUUUCUGUGUGGAUCCUGAGUGCUGCAUAUAAAUUGUGCAUCUCUGUUUACUCCUCUUAACCUGCUAAGCUUUCCCUGUUGGCAUUUAAAAUGUCUUCUGGUAAACAUACAGUAGAGGUUCUGGUAAUGAAGUAUGUGUGCCUGUACUGUGCAACAAAAAAUUUCUAACAUGAAACUUGCAGCGCCUUACUCAAGUUACUAAUUUGAGAAAAAAAAAGUGAUGGAUGGGAGGGGGAAAGUGUCAGCAUUUUUUUUAUUUUUUAAAUCAUUCAUAUACUGGUUCAUGAAGAAUGCAUUCUUUGUUAAUCUGUGAUGUUGCCUAGAGCUGUAUUUAAUAUUGAUCUUAAUGUUUUUAUUUAUAAUAGUGUGGUAGAACUGUAUAUCAUUACAGUAAAAAUUCUCAUUACUGUGAUGAUUUAAUCAAACAUUAAAAACUUCUGUAUGACCA